UGGUGAUGCAAAUCUCACUCUGAGGUCAAAGGCCGCAGAACCUUAGAGCCAACUGCUAUUCACCAUUGGCGCUCAAAGUCAGAAGAACCUGGGACUCUGGUGUCCAAGUUUAUUUCUAGUCCUGUGCUGAUUGGAUGGUGCGUAUGCACCCGGUACUCGGGGUGGAUCUUCACCUCUGGAAACACUCAUAGACCCUGUCCCCAUUCCACCAUUGCUGUGACCAAAUACCCGACAAGACGCAGCUUAAAGGAGGAAGUCUGGCUCACAGUUUAGGGAUUGAACUUGGCACCUGGUACAGACACGUAUCACUGAACUACAACUAUGAACGACAACCCCGAACUUUCUUCAGUCAAAGGCACGCUAACAGCUGUUCAUCUCCACUUGACCCUCCAUCUGCAGAGACUCUUGGAAAACAGCAUCCGUUAUAAUCUGUUCUUGGACCACUGGAACCAAGAGCACAGUUUAUAUUCAAACGUCACCCUUGUCUCUUAGAGAAGACUACCCAUUUUUAUUGGUUUGUUUGGCUUUGUUCUUGAGACAGGCUCUCCCUACAUCGUCGUGGUUGUCCCGGAACUCACUAUGGAGUCCAGACUGGCCUCAACUGUUGACCUGGGUCCCAGGGCAGC